UUCCUGAUGGUCCAGUGGCUAAGACUCCACACUCCCAAUGCAGGGGACACAGGUUCGAUACCUGGUCAGGGAA
rnacentral:tRNA from 1 species